rnacentral:rRNA from 1 species
AUUGCCUCAGUACGGCGAGUGAAGCGGCAAAAGCUCAAAUUUGAAAUCUAGCACUUUCAGUGUUCGAGUUGUAAUUUGAAGAAGGUAACUUUGGUUUUGGCUCUUGUCUAUGUUCCUUGGAACAGGACGUCACAGAGGGUGAGAAUCCCGUGCGAUGAGAUGCCCAAUUCCAUGUAAAGUGCUUUCGAAGAGUCGAGUUGUUUGGGAAUGCAGCUCUAAGUGGGUGGUAAAUUCCAUCUAAAGCUAAAUAUUGGCGAGAGACCGAUAGCGAACAAGUACAGUGAUGGAAAGAUGAAAAGAACUUUGAAAAGAGAGUGAAAAAGUACGUGAAAUUGUUGAAAGGGAAGGGCUUGAGAUCAGACUUGGUAUUUUGCGUUCCCUUCCUUUUUGGUUGGGUUCCUCGCAGUUUACUGGGCCAGCAUCGGUUUGGAUGGUAGGAUAAUGACAUUGGAAUGUAGCUUUACUUCGGUGAAGUGUUAUAGACUUUGUUGAUACUGCCUAUCUAGACCGAGGACUGCGUCUUUGACUAGGAUGCUGGCGUAAUGAUCUUAAGCCGCCCGUCUUA